CCCCAGCCUUCUGCAGAAUUCCACAUUAAACAGGAUGAAGAAUAGGUUGUUAGCAGACUGAGGUACUUGGGGCAACAUUUCGUACACAACAGGAGGGAGAAACGACUCCAGGUUGUCUUGUGGUAGAGGAGAUUUUGCCUUGCAAUUUUACAUACUUAUGCUACGUGGAAGGCUGGGUGGCGUGACUUCAGAAAAAUGUUUCCUCAGGAAAGAGACACACAGAGAGAGAGAGAAAGAGAGAAAGAGAGAACCCACCUACCUGUUUUGCAAAAGUCUCAUGAAUCAUCCCUUCCUGUGGUCCUGCUCCCUGAGAUCCUUUCACCGCUCACAGUGGGCUACUUCUAAGAGCGUGCCUGGCACAGGGUCACUGAGAGCAUAGUCUUAAUAAAACAAUGAUGGAUGCUUGUCUCUCUCACUGGGUGCCAUGCACUUUGAUCAGAAGCUUUAAGAAUGUUUUCCUCCACUGUCUAGUCACAGCCGUAUUAAAUUACACAAGGCAUGGGAAGAGGCAUAAUCUGUUGAUGAUAAAUCAGAAUUAAUGAGAGUUUAACAAGCCUGCUAAAUACUAAGUCAAUGUAAAAAAUCAAUUGUAAGCCCAUCUAUCAGAAAAACACUAUUAGCAAGCAAAAUUUACAUUUUUACUGCUUAACAUAGCAUCCCAAAUAUCAAGUACCUAGCAACAAAUCUAACGAAAGAUAUGCAAGACUUAUAGAGAAAACAGCAACAGCAACAACUUUGUUUAGAUACAUUAGCGAAGAUCUCAUUACAUGGAGACAUACACUAUGCUCAUGGACUGGAAGACUCCAUAUGGAAGAUGCCAAUUCACAUCUCAGAAUCUCAGCAGGUGUUGCAAAGAACCUGAAAAUUUGUUUUAAAAAUUCAUGUCAAAAUGCAAAGGUCCUACAAUUGCCAAAGAAAAAUAGGGAGGGAGGACCACCUGAUAUCAGCGGUGAUUAUAAAACAAUAAUAAAUGUGAUACCUUGCCUUAAGUCUGGGGAUAGACAAAUAGACGAGGGGCGCAGGUUGGAGAAUCCAGAAACUGACCCAUGAAUACAUUGACACUUGAUAUAUGACAGAAAUGGCCCCCAAAGCCAUGGGUGUCUGGGCAUAUAGUAUCCAUACAGAAAAAAUAUGAACUAUCUUCAAUAAGAGACAUAACACUAUAAAAGAAAAUCAUUUUAAGAAAAAAUUGUACAACUGAAUGUGAAAAACUAAGCUAUAAAUCUUUUAGAAGACAAUACAGGAGAACCUAUUUUUCCACCUUCAUUAUGUGGAGACCCAUCUUAAUAAAACACCAAAGGCAUUAAACAAAAUAAAUUUGACUACAUUAAAAUUAAGAAUUUUUGUUAAUUAAAAAAACACCUUUAAGAGAGUGAAAAGGCAAGGCAUAAAGAGAGAGAGAGACUGAGACUUUGCAACAAAGGACUGACAUUUGAAACAUCUAGAGAACAUCUACACAUCAAUAAGAAAAAGACUCCUUGGAAACAAAUGGGCCAAAGACUUCGGAGAUAUACUCCACAAAUGAAGAAACUCAAAGGGCCAAUAAACAGAAGAAAGGGGGCUCUGAUAUUUGCAGCAAGAAAAGAAAUGCAAAUUAAAACCACAGUAGGGCACCAUUACAUAUACAAGCUCAUUGGCAAAAACUUAAGUCUGGAAAUACCAAGCGUGGGUGAGAAAGUGGAGCAGUUGGAACUCUCUACAAAGCUUCUGAGAGUGCAAACCAGCACUGCUGCUCUGGAAGGCAGCUCAGCAUCAUCUGCCAAGGUUGAGGGUGUGUAUCCCCUAUGGCACAGCAGUUCCUCCGUGACGUGUGUACUCACAGACACUUCCAUAUAUGUACACCAGCAUAACGUGUGCAAGAAUCUUCGGUGGCAUGUUUGACAUAACCCCAAUCCAGAACCCAAGUAUUUACUUUAUCUGUCUUCUCUAUGUCCCUCUAGAAACAUAAGGCAUAAAUCCUCAGGGGGAAAUUUAUAUUUCAUGCUCAGGGGUGCCUU
rnacentral:lncRNA from 1 species